AUACGUAGGGGGCGAGCGUUGUCCGGAAUGAUUGGGCGUAAAGGGCGCGUAGGCGGCCCGGUAAGUCUGGAGUGAAAGUCCUGUUUUUAAGCUGGGAAUUGCUUUGGAUACUGUCGGGCUUGAGUGCAGGAGAGGUAAGUGGAAUUCCCAGUGUAGCGGUGAAAUGCGUAGAGAUUGGGAGGAACACCAGUGGCGAAGGCGACGGACUGGACUGUAACUGACGCUGUGGCGCGAAAAUGUGGGGGGCAAACAGGAUGAGAUACCCUGGGAGUCCACACUGUAAACGAUGUAUGCUAUGUGUAGGGGUUAUAUUCUCCCUAUGGGCCGCAGUUAACACAAUAAGUAUGCCGCCUGGGGAGUACGGCCGCAAGGUUGAAACUCAAAUGAAUUGACGGGG
rnacentral:rRNA from 1 species